CCGUGAACCUUUACUAUAGCUUGACACUGAACAUUGAGCCUUGAUGUGUAGGAUAGGUGGGAGGCUUAGAAGUGUGGACGCCAGUCUGCAUGGAGCCGACCUUGAAAUACCACCCUUUAAUGUUUGAUGUUCUAACGUUGACCCGUAAUCCGGGUUGCGGACAGUGUCUGGUGGGUAGUUUGACUGGGGCGGUCUCCUCCUAAAGAGUAACGGAGGAGCACGAAGGUUGGCUAAUCCUGGUCGGACAUCAGGAGGUUAGUGCAAUGGCAUAAGCCAGCUUGACUGCGAGCGUGACGGCGCGAGCAGGUGCGAAAGCAGGUCAUAGUGAUCCGGUGGUUCUGAAUGGAAGGGCCAUCGCUCAACGGAUAAAAGGUACUCCGGGGAUAACAGGCUGAUACCGCCCAAGAGUUCAUAUCGACGGCGGUGUUUGGCACCUCGAUGUCGGCUCAUCACAUCCUGGGGCUGAAGUAGGUCCCAAGGGUAUGGCUGUUCGCCAUUUAAAGUGGUACGCGAGCUGGGUUUAGAACGUCGUGAGACAGUUCGGUCCCUAUCUGCCGUGGGCGCUGGAGAACUGAGGGGGGCUGCUCCUAGUACGAGAGGACCGGAGUGGACGCAUCACUGGUGUUCGGGUUGUCAUGCCAAUGGCACUGCCCGGUAGCUAAAUGCGGAAGAGAUAAGUGCUGAAAGCAUCUAAGCACGAAACUUGCCCCGAGAUGAGUUCUCCCUGACUCCUUGAGAGUCCUGAAGGAACGUUGAAGACGACGACGUUGAUAGGCCGGGUGUGUAAGCGCAGCGAUGCGUUGAGCUAACCGGUACUAAUGAACCGUGAGGCUUAACCUUACAACGCCGAAGGUGUUU
rnacentral:rRNA from 1 species